GCAUGGAACACUGGAGGUGAAAAUUCUGACCAGUAGUGUUUCGUUUUAUUGACAUUGCAUGAUCCUAAGGAUGUGGGAGAGGCUCAGUCUGUAGUGUCCAUGCUUCUGGAUUUCAUCAUAUGUUUGUGUGCUUUGGAGCCUUCAGACACAUCCUGGAAAUUCCAGCUGGCAGGACUGUGGGGUUGGGUGGAUCUGCCCACAAGGGAAAGAUUAUGAAUCCCAAAUUGUCCUAGUUCAGAACCUUCGUGUCGACACCACCAUAGUCUGACGUCAUUUCAGAAAGGACAGAGACUUCCUGCACCUGUCAUACUGAAGUCAGAAGGUGCCUCAGAGAUAUUCAAGCACCAAGAUCUUGACAGCCAAAAGCAACUGGCCCAUUGCAAGCAUAAAAUUUAAUAAUUUCAACUUUUGCAUGCUCUGGGACUGACGCUUUCAUGUAGAUUGCUUCCAUGAUUUUGCAUUUUUGGAAGCCUGCAGUUACUUUUGGGAAGCACUGAGCGCACCUCCUUCAGCCCCCUGCAUUCGGUGCGCCCUCGCAGGGAGCCCAUCUUGGCACCACAGGCAGGUCCCCCAUGUGCUACAUUACCCCAAUUUACACCCGUAUCCCAACAACUCUACGCCCCCACUGCCUCUCCUCGCAAUCCGUGGGGUUUUAUCGCCCGGGAGCGGCCGCCUCCAUGCCCCAGGAGCCCUGUGAGCCCCCUGACACCGCUCCCCUUCCCCCCCGCAGCCCCAUCCCACCUCAGCUCCAUCCCCCCCCCCANNNNNNNNNNNNNNNNNNNNNNNNNNNNNNNNNNNNNNNNNNNNNNNCCCCCCUUCAACCCCCGCCCCCUGGGCGCUGCCCGCCAAUCACACCCCAGCACCCCCCACCGCUGACCUAUCAGCGCCCUCCUCCCUUCCCGCUCCUCCGCCCCGCCGGCGAAUCCCCGCCCCUUUCCCCACCGGCAGCCAAUGGCGGGGCGGGCGGCAAGCGCGGCUCCGGCGGGGCGUGUGAGGGGAGCGGCCGCCGCCCUCCUCCCUCCCUCGCCGCCCUCCUCGCUCCGCCGCCGGUCUCCUGCGCUCGGCCGGCUCCGGGCCGCCCCUGGUGGAGCCGCUGA
rnacentral:lncRNA from 1 species